AUCGCGCCACUGCAUUCCAGCCUGGCGACAGAGCGAGACUCCUCAAGGUGCAUCCAAAAAAAGAAAGACCAGAGGACCCAGCAAUGCUACCUCUGGAUGCACACACACGAGGACAGACAGGAGGGACUCAAACAGAAGCUUGCACACGCAGGUGCACAGCGGCACGACUGCCAACAGCCACAAGGUGGAAACCACCCAGACGUCCAUCGAUGAUAGAUGGAUCAACACAGCGUGGCCCAUCCACACAGUGGAAUAUUACUGAACCACGAAAAGGAAGGGAAUCCGGACAUGGGCUUCAGCGUGGAUGCACCUUGAGGACAUCAUGCUCAGUGAGAGAUGCCAGAGACACAGAAGGACACACCCCGCAUGGUUCCACUCCUAGGAGGUCCAUAGAGCUGUCAGAUUCAGGGAGACAAAAGGAAAAAAUAACUGAAGGAAGGCUGCAGAGGUCCCACAUCCGCAGCUUACAGAAACGGAGGCCCGGAGGGCAUGAUGUCCCCACAGGUGCCCUGGAAG
rnacentral:lncRNA from 1 species